GUACUAAAAAAAUUAAAUUACUGCAAAACGCUCAGAGAUCGAAAACAAUUUAUGAUACGUUCAAUAAACAGACGAAACUUGAAACGAUUGAUGUACAAUUAGUACAACAACCAGCUGUAAUACAGUCGGACUAAUUGAAGAACAAUAUUCAGUUGAUUAUCUUAAUGAUCGCGAUAAUAAAUCUGUUGAUUUGAAUAUUGGACAACCAGAUCCAUUUAUAAAUAAAGAUGAUCU